rnacentral:tRNA from 2 species
GCCGGUAUGAUGGAAUUGGUAGACAUGACGGAUUCAAAAUCCGUUUCCUUCGGGAGUGGCGGUUCAAGUCCGCCUACCGGUACCA